CGAUGGGGUAGAGGUUGCAAUAAUUAAUAGUAGCUUACUUGAAGUCUGAUGGGACUGUUGAUUGUAUGUCGAAAGGAAUUAUUGCCGAAGUAGGAAAAAUCCAUUUUAUUUUUCUAUACUGGGUUUACAUCAAACAGGUGUAAAACUGUCACAGAUUCUUUCUGUGGAGAGCUAUGCUGAGA
rnacentral:ncRNA from 1 species